rnacentral:rRNA from 1 species
UCUAGAGAUAGAGCUUUCUCUUCGGAGACACUGGUGACAGGUGGUGCAUGGUUGUCGUCAGCUCGUGUCGUGAGAUGUUGGGUUAAGUCCCGCAACGAGCGCAACCCUUAUUGUUAGUUGCUACGCAAGAGCACUCUAGCGAGACUGCCGUUGACAAAACGGAGGAAGGUGGGGACGACGUCAAAUCAUCAUGCCCCUUAUGUCCUGGGCCACACACGUACUACAAUGGUGGUAAACAGAGGGAAGCAAGACCGCGAGGUGGAGCAAAUCCCUAAAAGCCAUCCCAGUUCGGAUCGCAGGCUGCAACCCGCCUGCGUGAAGUUGGAAUCGCUAGUAAUCGCGGAUCAGCAUGCCGCGGUGAAUACGUUCCCGGGCCUUGUACACACCGCCCGUCACACCAUGAGAGUCGGGAACACCCGAAGUCCGUAGCCUAACCGCAAGGGGGGCGCGGCCGAAGGUGGGUUCGAUAAUUGGGGUGAAGUCGUAACAAGGUAGCCGUAUCGGAAGGUGCGGC